CCAAUCAAGGAUGGUUGGAAAAGCACUUCAGGGCAUCUGAAUCGCUCAGCACCAAUGGUAAUAACCUGACCAUCAGGUAACUCGUAGCUCUUCUCUACGGCUGAACUUGUUUUGGAGGUCUCUAGCUCCUGUUCGUAGUCAAGAGCAAUGUAUGCCAGCUUUUCCUUCAUGUCCCUCACAAUUUCCCGCUCGGCUGUGGUGGUGAAGGAAUACCACGCUCGGUCAGAAUUUUCAUCAAGUAAUCGGUGAGGUCACGGCCAGCCAAGUCAAGACGAAGAAUGGCAUGAGGGAGAGCAUAACCCUCGUAAAUGGGGACCGUGUGGCUUACACCAUCUCCAGAGUCCAACACAAUACCUACAUAGAAAAAGACACAACAUUGUUACAUCGCUUGUCUCUUGUAUAGCAAAAGCAUGUUCAACAUAUUAAAUUCAAUUCAACUAUAACCGAAACAAUUCAGAGAUUUCACCAGCCAUCCAAGCAGAAUCAAAUUGGCAAAGUUUUGACAAGUGCUCAUAACAUGUGAUAAUGAGAACCAAACUCAUGCCAUUUAUACCAAUGGUACUCAGCAGACACAGCUUAUGAUAUUUAGGAACUUAACAUAUCAGUUUCAGUUCGGUGCAGUUCCAACAAACUUAAAACUCAACAGGUCAAUCAUUUAUUUAUUAAAUGAUGCUUACCGGUUGUUCGACCACUGGCAUAAAGAGAAAGCACAGCCUGAAUGGCGACAUACAUAGCCGGAGCGUUGAAGGUCUCAAACAUAAUUUGGGUCAUCUUCUCACGAUUAGCUUUAGGAUUGAGAGGAGCCUCGGUAAGGAGAAUCGGGUGCUCUUCAGGGGCAACACGAAGCUCAUUGUAAAAGGUAUGAUGCCAGAUCUUUUCCAUAUCAUCCCAGUUGCUCACAAUACCAUGCUCAAUAGGGUAUUUCAAGGUCAAAAUACCUCUCUUAGAUUGAGCUUCAUCACCAACAUAUGCAUCUUUCUGGCCCAUGCCAACCAUCACACCAGUGUGACGUGGCCGACCAACAAUGCUAGGGAAGACAGCUCGGGGAGCGUCAUCUCCAGCAAAUCCAGCCUAAGACAAUACAUUUUACAUUGAACUUAUAUCAGAUAAAAAGGGCAGAAACAUUAACCUUAACAUUACAUAACAUCAAGUCAAAAAACACAAUGUUUCACUCAUAAGACAAAAGCUUUCAAUGAUUUACCUUCACCAUUCCUGUUCCAUUGUCACAAACAAGUGGCUGAACAUCCUCAGCUUCUGCCAUCUUCUACAACCUGCCAUAAUAACAAAACAAAAAUGUAAUAUUUUGGAACAAAUAUACCACUUAAAAGCAUAAUAAAUAAUUUUUUCAAAAAAAUUUUCACUUGAAUUCCACCAAUUUAAUUUCCCAUGAAUUCUAAAUAUCCAAUCUUGGGUUUACAAGAUCAAAAUUCAAGCAUCCUCAGAUCCCAUUAACAAUCUGAAAUCUAAAAGACCAUCAAAGCAAAUCAGCCAAAGAAACAAAUAAAUCAAAUAAGAAACAGCAGAAAAAAAAGGAAACAGAUCUAAGCAAACACAAAAAUAAAAUCAACCCAUUUCCAGAAAUGGGAUUCUUUUCCUGUCUUUUGGUUCAAAACAAAGAAAACCCAAUUCAUAAAACAAAUCAAAACAAACCCAAAAAACAAAAAAAAAAAGAAUAAAAGAACAAACCAGAAAAGAAAACAGCAAAAAGAGUUAAAAAGAAAAGAAAACAAAGACCAACAGAACAAAGACCAACAGAUCUAAUCUAAGGGGAAAUGAGGAGAACAUAACGACCUUGAGAAUACGAGGGUGUGUCUGAUGGGUGAGAAUGCGAGGAUCAAAUAGAGAAACGAGAGAGUGAGGAAAUGCUUUGAAGAAGAAAAUCAAAUGAAAGCGAAGUGUAAGAAGGGGAAGAGAGUGAAUAUGGGCCGUUGAAUUUAUGUGCUUGUUUAUUUGUAGAGAACGCGACAUUGGGCUCUCAUUCUCAACGCUUUUCCAUUCAUUGUUUUCACUGUCUUUUGCCAUUAGGCUUGGACUGGUUACCACUAAUUUCGCAACCUUUGAUUUUGCGCUUUUUUUUUUACUAAUAAAAAAAUUAGUUGGGUUACACAAAUAAUAAAUCAAAUUUAAGAGUUUAUAACAAUUAUAUUUUAAUUUUUUAAAAAUAAAAAUACAUUAUGUUGUUCAAAAUACAAAAAUUAUGGAGUUUACUAAUUUACGUAAUUAAUAGUGUAUUUAUUUUAAAUCCUAAUCUAGCUUGAAAUUGAAUUUUUUCAAAAAAUUUUAGAAUUUUAAAAUUUUUUUUAUUGUUUAUAUAAUUUUUAAUAAAAAAUAAAAUUCAUGCCAAGUAAAAUUCUUCAUUUAAGUAUUAGUUUUUUUUAUGCAUUUUUCUAUUUUUUUCUCUAAAAAAAUUGUCCUCCACUAUGUGAACACUGUUUUUUUCUUCUUCCUCUAAUCACCGAUAAGAAAAAAAGAUUUGAUUCAAACUUUAAUAAACUACCUCAAUUUUUUGCAUGUUGAUUUGGUAAGAAUUCACAAAAGUAAUGGAUUACCAUAAACCUCUUCUUGGCAUUAAGAAAAAGAAAAGAAAAAACUUAGGCUAUUUCCACUAAAUUUUCGAAGAAUAUAAUUAUUUUUUGCAUCAAUUUUGAUGGGAUUUUCAUCUUUCCUUCACGUCGGCUAUGAUCUCAUAUUUUUCAAUACCAAUUUGAAUGACUUAUAAAAAAAAAUUUGACAACUUUGAAUGAUUUAAAAAUUUGAUAAUCUAAAAUAUGGUAUGAAAAUUAUAUGAAAAAAAUAUAUGAAUGUUAAAUGACUUAAAAUUUUAGCAAAAAUUAUAUGUAGAUUUAAUAAAAUAAAAAAAUUAUAUUUUAUAUUUUUAUAUCAAUAUAAAUUAUAACAUAUAAUUUUUAUAUAAAAUAUAAAAUAAAUACAUAAAUUAUUAAUAUUUUACGUGAUAUAAAUAUAUAAAUGAUAAGAUCUACGGCAUUUAAUGGAGUUCUUUCUGUUAGGUUGCUUUCAAACAAAUAUGUAUGUACUUCAAAGCUUUGUGGGGGCAACUCUUCCAACCCAAAAGCCCAAUGGACCAUUUUUUCAAUUAAAAAAAUAUAUUAUAUGAUGUUGAAUUCAGCUCUAAAAAUCAUAUAUUUUGGGUCAAAAGUUGUUACCAAACUGAAUUAGUUCUAAAACAUUAUGAAUAUGAUAAGAUUCUUUGGUGUAUUUUUCCAUUUUCCAUUCCUUUUCAAAAGUAUAUUACGUUUUGCGGCCAUUGAAAAAUGAAAAGCAAAUACUUGGUCAGUUGGGAUAUUGUUGUGUUGUAAUGUGAUGAUUGGACAAGUUUCAUAAUCAUAAUUUCCGCAUUAAAUUUUGAAACUUGAAAUCAUACUUAAAGAACUCAAAUCAGAACACGUCUGUCAAGUAACUCCAAAGACUUACUUUUGGGGUUUGAUUUUGCCGUCACCAUUUAACUACCAUUACUUUAGCGACUAACAAACCUCCUACUGCCAUUGCCACCUUUCUCAUUUUAAAAAUAGGGACCGUUCAUGUAUCUGUGUCGCAUCUAUUUUAUGUCAAAACACGUGUAAAAACACGAAAAUGCAAAACCGAGGAAUUGUAGUUGUCAAAACCAUCAGCUCAGACACUAGCAUCUGUCUUGUGCAAUUGAAUAUUGAUAGAAUAGAGAUAAUCAAUUCAAACAACAACACUAAUGAUUCUAUAUAAAUAGAAAAAUUGUUUUUCUUUCACACAGAAAAGCAAGUUGAUCUGAUUUGAGGAAUAAAUAUGAGAGAUAAAAAAACCAUUCUAAUGCAUUCCAGAUACAUUACAUUGUCUAAACAGAAACCUAAAAUCAAUCCAAACAAUUUUUUGAGGAGUGAUCUUAAGUUCAUAUAUGGCAAGAAUUGAUCUUCCAUGAACUUGAAACCAUGCUUUUAGAACAGAAACUUAUAUCAAAAAGACCAAUGAAUAGGAGGCUCACCCAUCAAUUCUACAGGAAUGGAGGGAGAAUUACCCAUCUGCCCGGAUACUUCGGCCUUCCUUCCUUACCGUCAAAUAGCUGUGAGUAAUAAGAAGUCAAAGGUAAGGGGAAAGUUUAUUAAAAGUAAAACACAAUAAAAACUAAAGAUUUACAGAAUGGAGAUGUUUCUAUUAACAAAACAAAGACAAAGACAAAAUGAUAUAAAGCAAAACACGCAACCAUAAGGAGGCAGUCGUUCGAGCAAUUGUGGUGGCAAUUUUGGUUUUUAAAGGACUUGAUCCAAAAUGGUAAGCAGAGUGCUAAACAGUUUAUUUACUUGGAUAUGAAUUCCUUGUCUUAAAUUUGAUCCGAGUUCAAUAUAAGUGAUAUGAACAAGUGUGCUGACAUGCAUCAUACAUGAACUUCUAGAAUUCUACAUAGGCUUUUGCGAUACAUUUGACUAGCAUUUAGCAUAAUGAAGCAAAUCACUCAAUGUUACUCAAAGAAAUUCUAAUCCUGUAUGUACUUUGCAAAUUAAAUAAAAAACCAACAUAUCUUGAUCUAAUUUACUUUCAGUUUUAGGCAGAAAGGAAAGGCAGGGCGGCAGAAGUAAGAGAUUUCACUUGGUGUUGAAAAUGAAGGCAACUCUAAUGGCAUGCACAAAGGUUAUUUGGUUUAGUCGUUCAGCCACAAAAGCUAAGGUAAAUACCUUUUUCAAAUGGCGGUGCUUUGCAAGGGCCCAAUUUGUCAUAAUAGAAGUAGCAACCACAAGAAAUACAUAACCUGCAACACUCUGUGUAGCAAUAUUGAAACCCAGCCAUUGGUAAAUCUCUGUUGUGUAAUUUGCGCAUGUCACAAUGUUGAACAGAAACCCACGAGGAAUUUGAUACCCUCCACUACCAUCAGGGCUGCGUAGAUUCUUCAGAAUGAUAUGACAAUAGAAGUUUGCAAGUUGACAAACCAACCCAAACCCAAAACCAAUCUUCAUCUGAAGAUCACUAACAGGUGUGUAAAGUGGGUGAUUUACAUAGUAAGCAAUGUAAGAUCCAAAGGUCCAGUAAUAAGCACAGUUUCUGAAGACAUUUGAUAGUGGAGAUGUUGCAUGACUGAAGCGGUGGACGAAGAAUGUUUCCAUAAUACGUUUGAAGUAGUGGAAACACCAGUAAUAUAAAGCAUAUAUUUGAACAGGGUGGAUGACACGCUCCCCUUCAUAGCCAAAGAACUUGUACACAGGGAAGUAGUAGAAGAUGGGAUAGAGGUCAAAGGACCCAAGUAUUCAAAGAAGAAAAGUGUACGAUAAGAUACUUGUGGACCCAGGUCCUUGAACACUACAGUUAUGUUGUUUUGGUUUUCAUCACAGUAGUCUUUGAGACUCUUCUUGUAGCUAAGAACAACAGGCCGCACCUUUGAACCUGAUGGCACUGGAAGUGUGAGUCUUUGUCUUGAAGGAUAGAACUUUUUAGCUGCUAGUACCACACAUGAGAACUCAGUUAAUAAGAAUCCAAUGAUCAAUGAAGCUGCCCACACGCAUGCAAUCAGAGACACAUCCCUUGAGAAAUUGGGGGGAAAGACUCAAGAUGACAAUAAAAAGGCAUAAAAGUUUAUCAAAAUGUUGGAAUUCGUAAGUGCUCUGAUGCCAAAUUAAAAACAAACCCAUAAAACCCCUUUUGGCAUAAGAAAGCAGGCAGCACAGUAAUGCACACUGCAAUUGGCAAGAAUUUCUUUCCCAUCAAUAUGAAAUAAACAUAUCUAUUUUACCAAAGCAUCUGAAACUCAAAUAGGAGGAAGAAUUGAAACAUAAAAUCUACCAAAUAUUUGAGUGAAAAAUAAAAACGUUUCACUGACUGGAAAUGGAGUAACUAAUAACCCUAAGAUAAUACACAUAGCACAAAAAAGUGCCCUACUUGCAUGAGGAAUUUACUGCUGGUACAUGACAUCUGAAGAAUACAUUUCAAGGAACAAAAAAAAAUCAACCUUAGUGAUAUCUGUUAAGUAUCCAUAAGUAAAUAUAAUUUUAUCGAAUGUGUCUAGUUACUUCAUCACUCAAGAGUCAACUAGAUUAGAACAUCCAUGCAAUACAAUAUGCAAAUAAAAAGAAUUACAGGAAAUUCCCACAAACAUGCAAUUAUUUUGCCCAAUCUAGAGUUACAAGACUAUUAUUUCCUCCUUGUUUUGUUAAGUAACACUUAAUCAACAAACAAGAAAGCAAAUCACUUACUUCUCUUGUGAAUUGCCUCCUGCAAAUCAGCCACAGUAGCCUGCAAAAAAAAGAAAGAAGAAACAUAAUAAAUUGCCUUUCUUUCCCUUCAUUUUUCCAGACAAGCAAUCAGCCUAACACUAUAAAACACAAAAGGAAGUAAAACCCAAGAAAGAAAAAGAAAAGACUUACUAAGUCAUGAAGCUCAAGGCCUCCUUUGAUAAACUCUCUUCCACUGCGUGAAACUACAGUGACCUUCAUCCUUUCUGAAAACAAAAGAUACCCAAUUUUUGUUAUGGCUAAAGGAACAAACCCUUUGAAGCUUCAAGCUUGGAAAAGUUGGAUUUUUCGAGUUUGGAGAUCUCAAAAUUUAUAGCUUUUUGGUGAAAAAAAGUGAGAAGCUGUCUGUCAGGUUUAUAGUUUAGGAAAUGGGAGCGCUGGCAUUGAGAUUGUAUACAUUAAAGGCCUAUGGUUGGCGUGGGAGAGAAAACUACCUAGGCCGAUGACACCCCAUCUUUAAUUGCUCAACAUAUAUGACUUGAUUUGUGUGAUCCACUUAUGAGAUCUUGCUUUGAACGGUGAUGAUCUGAACACGUCAUCUAUCUUGCCAGAAAGAGAACAUAGUAUUUAUAAGGAUAGCAUUACAAUUAAUCUAUAAUAAUUACAAUAUCAUAGAUUAUUUUUCAUCACAUAACCUCAAUUUUUUUACCAAUAUGCAUUAUCCUAUUCUUUAUAUGUUUAUCACAUUCAUGUUAAACAAUAUUAAACAAAUUUAAAACAUGAAAGUUAUUGUAUCAAAUUUAUUAUUACAAAUUCCUGAUAUAUGUUAAAUUCAAAUACAGUUUUUUAUUUUUUUUAAAUUCAUAAAAUUUUUUUGUUAAAAUUUUUAUUAUAUUAUUUGUAUCAUAUUUAAAAUUACCAAUUUAAUAUUUAUUUAACUAAUUCUAACGGUUGAAUUUCAAGUAGGCACUUAAAAUUUUGCUUCAUCCCACCACUUGAGCAAAAUGAAGGGAUUGGCACACACACUCCUUUUGCUUUGGACAUACAUAAUUUAUUCAAUUUAUCACCAACUUAAUAUAUAUUCAUGUGAGUGGUUGAUCGUUGGUCCAUAACUAAAUAGAAGAGCCAAAAGCAGAUCACUACUUCCCCAACCAAGAAAUUUAUGUACCCAUCAAUUCAUUGUAGUAGAUUAGUACUCUCACUGGCCACCAUUCUCAUAUCAUUAUGAUUAUCUGAUAAUAUAAGUGUAGGCUCAACCCUUAGCCUUUUCUUAAGUAGAGGUGGCCGCCAGCCGCUGCCACCAUGGAGCCACCCCUCACCGCUGUCUCCGCCCCUGUUAAGCUGAUCAUUGUUGUUUUAGAUGAUAAACAGUUUAGAAUCAACAUAGUCGAUGAUGCUGUGGACAUGGCAUUCCAUAACAGGAGAAUAGACAAAGAAUACAUGUUAUAACAGAUUGCAUGAUUAAUGUCCAAAACAAUAGCAAUGGAAAUCCACCAUUGUCUUUUCCUUUGUUUUCUUCAACUAAUUUUCUGCCAAAACACUACAUCACACUCAAUAACAGCAUGACAAGUGAUAACAUUGGAAUCAAACAAGACUCUGCUAUCAUAAAGUUCAUAAGAGAUAUGCUCGUAUCAGUUUGAGUUAGAAAAUGAAAGAAUGCUGUGUGAUAUAUUCAUGUUCUAACAAGCUCUAUGACUCGAAAACACUGAAUAUAAACAUGGUGGAUAUUCAUAACAUUAUAGUGCAAAGCCAUCUUGUGUAUGUAAAUUAGUUCCCCUUGAACCAACUCCAGCGAAAACAUAUCAGUGCAUAAAGGCAUUCCAUAACAAUUUGAAUGAUCUUUAACAGCAGAAAUUUUCCAGCUUUUUACAUGAUAUAGGCAAUAUAUUUGCAUUUGAAUUUUGAAGUAAGAUGGCUCCCUUCACUUCUGAGUGCACACUUCAGCUACCUAAAUAAAAAAAAUAAGUAGAAAAUUUUAUAGACUUCGAAACACAUUUUUCUUUCAUCAUUAACAGAGGUUUUGAACAUAUCACAAAAAUAAUACAUGAAUAAACCGGAAGAACCAUGCAUUGCACAAGCUACUGAAUUCUAUGAGGAACCAUUGAUACAAAUAGAUAAAAUUCCAUAAAACUAAGCUGAUAUUCUACCUGGAUCUCACUGUGAAGCUAUCCAUAUAGCCUCAAACUCUAGCCUUCAGCACUCUUCAUCAUCCAUAUAUUUAAAGCCUAGCUCAUCAGUUGGCUUUGUAACCUAACUAAUAUCAACCUUGUGAUGAACCAAUGCAUUAAGGUUCGAUCUCUAACUAAAAUAAAAAGUAAGUUUUCCAGUAUUUCAGCGAUCUAAUAAUUCUCAAGCUACAAAGCCAUUCCACAAGCCACCACAAGUAACCAAAUGUAGAAGUAGAAAAUAAAGAAUCUUAAUUUUGUAGUAUUAGCUAUCCCGCCAAUGUAAGUUAGGGCCACAAGAACCCACUUUAGAAAAUAUUUGUCAGCACAUUAAGGCAUUCCAUGGAAGAUUUGAAUCAGAGGAGUACUUAGUUUCUUAUAUGGUCAAGUUUAAGGCAAUAUAUUUGCAAUUGAAUGUCUAGGUACAUAAGCUCCAUUCACUUAAGCUAACGAGAAAACAAAAGGACAAGAAACAAUAAAAUUUGCAUAGUAGCAUAAAAAUUGAUAAAUAAACUACUUUACUCACCAUUAGAUCCCUGAAAAUUUUACCAAUUCAGAAUGCUGAAAUGUUCCAGAAGACUUCAGGACAGUGAAAGUUUUAUACACAGUUUCUUAGCAUUUAUCAAGCAAAUGAUACAUUACCAAACAAGAACCAUGCAUUGCAAAGCUAUAGAUUGUUUUCGAGGAACAACUGAUAAAGAGCAAAAAUAUCAAAUUCAUCACUAUAAGCCAAAAUUCUAGGCAGAACUCACUGAGCAACUUUGCAUAUAUCCUCAUACUCGAUAGCCUUAAGCACUCUCCCAUCAUACACUCCCUUCUCUAUCUGCACCUUUGCACAAAACUUCUCUGUAUCCACACCCAACAACCUUGCAUUUGACCCACGAUAUGCCCCAUUUACUAUCCUUACCACUCCCCCAAUUUGCGGAAUCACAGUCUCAAGCUCUUCCUGAUCAACUCUCAACACAUGCUUACUGUCAAGCAUUUCAAUCUCCCCUACAUACCUAUCGAUCACUUUCCUCACAAUUCCUUUCUGCUUAUAGUACCCUCUUUGAGCCAAUGCUUUACUCAUCACCUUCACAAUGAUACCCUCACCAAGCCAAUAAUCUUUCCUAUUGCUUCUCUCCUUUAUCUUCUCCUCUUCCCUCAUCAACUCUUCCAACGCAUUUUUUCUACCACUGUUCUCUUUCUCCUCAUUCUUCUUCUUGUUUUCAUUCUCUUCCUCUUCAAAAACCAACCUCGCAUUAUUCGAACUCUCCCCUUUCGCGACAUUUCCCCCUCCUAAAGUAAACCCAAUUUUCACUCCACUCUCCAAAUUCAGCUCUUUGGUGACAGGCUGUUUUGAAUUCUCCUCAGAUUCCAAAGGCAUUUUCAGCUGCUCAGCUUUUUCAAUUUGCUUUUGAAUUUCCUUCUCUUGUUUCUCUUCCUCUACCAUAUCCAAUUUAAUCCUUUUAUUCUUCAUUUUUUCCUUAAAAAUAGUCUCUGAAUCUCUAUCAAUAUAAGUAAUAAACCAACCUUUGGGUGUUUCUUCGACCUUACACUUCCCAGUCCGUCCCAAAUACUUGACGAACUCCGUUAAAGUAGCCCACUGGGUCGAAUUCAUAUGAACGUGAUGUCGAUCAUGAAUGAACUCAUUGUAAACGACGGUGGCGGCGACGCGACUGAACCGGUGGCUGCGUUUCAUGAGGUCGAGGAAGUUUUGUUCGAACUCUUCGGAGUAUCCGGAUAAGAUCCGGUCCGGGUUUUGCCCGAAGAUUUGCAUUUGGCGCUGGUGAGAUUCGCUCAUGCAAUGGCAUUUGAAUCCGUUUUCGUCUCGGCAUUGCUUUUGGCACAUUUGACAGUACCAUCGAAGCUUCUGGAGACCUUUGGCUUUGAUUCGGUUCGCGAUUGCUUUGGGUGUUAGGAAAUCGUUUUUUCCCAUUGGGUGGCAAAUCGGAAACCCUAGAAAAAAGAAAUUAAGAUUAAAAAAAAAGAAACAGGGAAAAGAUUAUAUUUUUGUCUUUAAAGGAUGCAAACCUGAAAAUUAAGACUCAAUUAAACUUGAGAGAAUGAUCGGCGGCGGUGGCGCGUGAGUUGAACCGGCAGCUAAAGAGGGUUGUGAUGUAAAAAGGAAGAUAGAAGAAGGAGAGAGAAUGUAAUUUGCAAAUAAAUCGAGUUUUUUUUUUCCUUUUAUUAAUAGGCAUUAGGAUUUCUUUUCUCCUUAGAUAAAAGCCCAAUUCAAGGCCCACUUUUCAAUGUAAACAAAGUCCAAUACCGAAUAAAAUCCAACUUUUAAUAAGUUUUUCGUUCCAUAAGAUGGUAGAAAUUUUUUCGAAUUUAUUUGGAAGUAAUUAGAUUUUAUAAUUUUAAAUAUGAAACGAUAAUAAUAUAUAAAAAUAAUAUAAAAAAUCAAAACAAUUUAAAAUAAAAAGUUUAAAAUUUUAAUAAAAUUUAUAUAUAAAUUUGAUAAAAAUAAUUUUUUUUUUAUAUUUUAUACAUAUUUGACAUAAUACGAAUAUGAUUCGAACAUAUAUAUUAUCAUAUUUAGAUGUAAUCUUCUUUUCAAAUUAUUUUAAAAUUUGGUUUAGUUAUUUUUAACUUAAUUUUCAUUUUUUUUUGUCUUUUUUAAUGUUUCAAAUUGAUUUUUUUAAAGUACAAUUAUAAUAAAGUAUUAUAUGAUAAAUUGAAUAAUCGACGUACUAAUAAAUUAAAACAUAAUUAAACAUCCUAACGCACUUGAAUCUCAAAAUUCUAAGAUCUUUUGCUUGCAAUUUUUUUAAACACUUAAAACUUUUACAUUUUUUAUAUUUUCAAAUAUAUUUUUCAUAUAUUUUAUAUUUUUCAGCAUUAAAAAUCAAGGAACAUCAAUCUUAUAAAUAAAAUUUAAAAUUUUCACAUAAAUACACUAAAAUCAAAAUUUUCUCAAACUAGUUUAUUAAAAUCAAAAGGGACAUAUAUAUAUAUAUAUAUAUAUAUAUAUAUAUAUAUAUAUAUAACACGAUGGAACAGUAUAAAACAAAAUAUUUAGCUUCAGACAAAGAAUUCAUACAAUAAUACAAACCAAACAUUCUAGAAAAUUAGAAGCAGUUGCAAGCAUUUAGGGGAAAUUAAUGUCCUUUGAGACACUAACAAUAGCUAGAAAAGAAAUAUGCUCAUACUUUAUUGUCAGGUUGUUUCUUCUUAACCUCAUCCACAUUUUCAACCAUUGGUAGUGUCUGCAUAACCAAAGUCACAAAAGCCAUUAACAAAGAAUAGAAUGAAAAUUAUUUAUAAGAAAAAUAUACAAAAGACUACUGCAAUUUAGAUGAUACUGGGUUAUUAGCCAUUUCAAGUUUCAAGACUUCAGUAGCCAACACGGUGUUUGGGACAUUUCGUCGAACAUUUUAAGGGUGCUCAAUAUCAUCCAAGAAACAAAUACAUUAAAAAGAAACGAAGAAAAGUAAAUAGAGAAGUGAUUACGAGAUCAGGCUUGUAAAUGUUGUGGACGACGGAGGCGCCGGCAAGGAGUGAAGCAAUGACGACGACGCACGACCAGGCCAGAGAUGGAGUCCCGGUGGGCCGUUUUGCUGCCCCAAAUUUUUGGUUCAUGGCGCCUCUUUUUCUUGAAAACCUGAUGGCUUGCUCUAUUAACGUUCAAGUUUUUAAACUUUUUCUUUGAGGGCAAUUUAGUAAUUUUGAAUUUCCAAUACUUUAAUGGUCCUUGUAACUUAUAUAUCCAUACGGUGAUUAUUUUGUAUUAAAUAUAUGUAAAAUAUAAAAGUUAUUAUAUUAUAAUUUGUGCUGAUAAAAAAUAUAUAAAUUUUAUUUUUAUUAAAUUUAUAUAUAUUUUAUAAUAAUUUUGAAUUAUUUUAUUUUGAUAUUUUUUAUAAUAUUAUUUUUUUUGUUGUAUCUAAAAUUAUAAGCCUAUAUUUUAACUCUUGCCAAUGUUUUAUCAAGAUUUUUACAAAUUUUUGUCAUUGUCAAUAAUAUCAUUAACAAAAAUUUUCAUUGCAUCAAGGGAAUCUAUAAUUUUAUUUAUAACUUUUAUAAAAAAAAAGAGAAAAUAGAAAAAAGAAUUGGUUCAAUAUCUCUGAAUUUUAUUUUUAAAAAAGUAUAGUAAUUGAUAAAGAAAUUCAUAUGUUUGGGAUUUUUGUUAGUACUUGCUUCUUAUGCUUGUUGCUAACAUAAUAUAUAUGAAGGUGCUUAAUAGUUUUUUUAAGGGAUAAUACUCAAAUAAGUUCUUAAACUUUAUUAAAAAUUAGAAAUAAGUUCAUGACUUGUUAUUGCAUGAAAUUAAUGGUAUAAAUUUUUAUUUUAUUGUAGUUAGAUCCUUGACGGUAUAAAAUAUUCAGUUUUGUUUAAAUUUUUUUAGUUAGGUGAUUUAAUUUGUAAAAAAUGCAUAUUUAAAUUUAUUUAAAUGAGUUGAACAAUAAAUAUUUGAGGGAACAAAUGUUACUUUAAAACUUAUGUCAAUGGGAUAUUAUUAUCCAUUUAAAGAAUUAAUAUGUAUAAUUACAAUAAAAAUAAAAUUUUAUAUAUAGUCUUAGUUUAAUGCAAUAAAAGACUAAGGGCUUGUUUGCAUUUGGAGUAAAAUCUAAAGUUUAUUUGGGUAUUUAGCAUUUUUUUAAUUGGUAGCCAAUAUUGUGUUUAUAUAAUGUAAUCAAUAAAUUCAUAUUAUAAUAUCUGAUUUUGAUAGGUAUAGUUCAAAAUGAAACUUAUUAACAAUUUAAUUAACGUCACUAAUGAACCAGUAACUUAAUUCAGUUGACUCAUGUAUUUAGCUAUGCAAGAUAAUAUUCAACAGGUUUAUAAUUUGAAUUGUAAUACUUAUAAAUUUUUUUUAUCCUCAAAUUACGGAUUAAAUCAAACACAAUUGUUUUCUUUUGAUGCAGAAAACACCCAGAGCUUAAUCCUUGUAAAUUUCUGAGAAAUUGUGCUAGUAGACCUAAAUCCAUCCACACAUCUUUGUAAAUCAACAUCAUAGAAAGCUAUGCCAAUCCAAUCUAGAACAAGUUGAAAAAGGAAGCUCUCAAAAGACCAAAAAAAUCAAAGCAAAAUAGGAAAAGGGCAAGUAAUUGAGUGGCUAAUUGGUUACUCACUCCACAUGAAAGUUGGAAUCAAAUUGAUACACAUGUCUUGGUAAAAUGGUAAUAGAGAAAAUUCUCACAAAGAUCAUAAUAUGACAAACUUUUUUUGGCAAUAAAGGAAACCAAACUUCAGUUAAUUAACUAAGCUCAUGUUUCCUUUCUUCUGUUGCUUACUUAUAGAGCUGUAAAUCUGCCAUAAAACCAGGUGAAUUGCCAAGCUCAUGUCCAACUUUGUUGGUAUGCUCAUAGAAGGUUAAUUAUAUAUUGAUUUUAAUUGUUUCCAUUUUUAUAUAUAUAUAGUUCUUGUAACAACAGUUUUAAUUGUUGAUUAUAGCAAGUUUAUGCUAAAUCUAACAUAUAUGAAAGAUCCAGUAAAUUAUUGAAAUGAAAGCUUGUUUAUUUAUGCUAAAUCUAAUAUAUAUAUGAAAGGUCCCGUAAAUUAUUAAAAUGAAAGCUUGUUGUUCAUUUUUAAUUUGUUUUGGUCUGAAAUAGUUUAGGACGACCAAUAGUUAUGCGACCCAUUUGUAAAUGAUUGGACUGUAUCAUAACUUUGAUAAUUGAAAAUAAAAUUAAAAAAAAACACUAGAUUUAUGGAAAAGGCUAAAAUUCUAAAAAAUUCCUAAACUAUUUUACUUUUUCUAAAUAAGUUAUAUAUAUAUUUUUAUUGUAUCAAAAUAAUUUUUUAUUUUUUAUUUAUAUUCAAAUAAACUCUUAUUUCAAAUAAAAGAUUAAUUUUUAUUAAGGGCUUGUUUAGGUACAAAAUAAAGGUUUAGAGUUUAUUUGGAUACAAAUUAAAUAAAAUUUAAAAGUUUAUUUGGAUGUAAUAAAAAUAUAAAAACUUAUUUAAAUAAAAUAAUAAAAUUAAAGAACUUUUUGUUAUUUUAGUAAAAAAAACAUGAAUUGAUAUUAUAUAUUUUUUGUAUCAAGUUGAUCAAAUUAAAUAGAUUCAUAUAACAUACAUAUAAGAUAUCAUAUUCAAUUUAAUCAUUGUCUUUUGCUGAACCGCCAACAAGAAACAUACUAGAAAAGUCGCCCAUCACUGUUAACGCUAAACGAUGGAAAUGACCACUCAAGCCAGCUUGUGUUGGAAAAAUUGGCCAUGGAGAAAAUUCUCACAAUUCAACAAUCUUUAAUUGACAAUUUGAACUUUCCUGGCAAUGAAGGAAAUCAAACUUCAGUUAGUUAACUAAACUCAGGUUUCCUUUUUUGCCUGUUGGCUGCUUAUAGAGCUAUAAAUCUGCCAUGAAACCAGGUGAAUUGCCGAGCUCAAAAGCAUUUACUAUACUUUUUAAUUACUUAAAAUCUCAGCCGGAGGUUGCAGCCGGACGUCACUGGUGAUAUUGGUUGUAUUAACCAAUUGAGUUAGGUUUCGAGUUUUAAAAUGUAAGAUUUUACUUGUUAAUUGAUUUACAAUUUUUGUUUUGAUCAUUAAUGAGUUUUCUUCUUGUCUGCUUUAGUUAAAUCAUGUAACUCUGAUUGUAUCAUAUAGUGCUCUAAUUUUCCAAAACAAAAAUUGUUUCAUCUUUGAAACAGGUAUUGAAUUUGUGAAAAAAUAAUAAAAGAGAAGCCGUGAAAACAAGCUUGAGAUUUCGAAAAGAAAUUAAAAAAUUCCAUGUGCGAAGACAUGAAAGUUACCGAGAUAGAGCAUUUUAGUCAUCGCCACAAGCUAGAGCUGAGUUACAGCCAAAAGCCUUAUCGUUGUGAUGGAUGCAAACAAGAAGGAUUUGGUUCAUGCUAUCAGUGUAACAAGAAAACCAAGUGUGACUUUCAUCUUCAUGAGAAAUGUGCUAUGGCUGAUCCUUUGGCCACGCAUCCGUUCUUCAACAACUGCAUCUUCGAGUUUCGAAAGAAAAGAAAACAUGGUAAGCGUUGUAAAGCAUGUGGGAAAGAUAUUCGAGGUUUCAUGUACAAAUCAAAGAAAGCAUAUUUGCACCCUUGCUGUUUGAAGCUCCCAAACACAUUGAAUGGUGAAGGAGGGUUGAUUCUUAAUCUUAAAGACAAGGCCUCGUCCAAGUGUUUGAUAUGUCGACACAAAAAAAUCUCGGGUAAAGUAAAAGGUUGGGCUUAUGUUUCAACUUGUGGCAAACAUUGUUACCAUGUUGGUUGUGUAAAUCACAUGAAUUUUGAGAAUUGGGGUUGUUUCAAUAGUCAACAAAAUGGUGGGAAUAUUAGCUUAGUAUUCAUCAAACAAGAAAGUGGGAGAAAGAAGAAAAGAGGCUGUUGUGUGGGAUGUGCUCUAGACCUAAUAGUCAAUGCCAUUUUGGGGAGUGCUUUGCAGUUGGCUGCUGGUUGUGUGUUGGGUCUUUCCUAGCAAAGAUUUUUAUUGCUUGUAAAUCUGGACAGCCUUGUCAAUUACUUAAAUUGUAAGAUUUUAAUUGUUAUUAGAAGUGUUCAUGGCCGGGCCGGGAUGGGUUUAUGCUUGUUAUUAUAUAUUUGUUUAGAUCCGACCCAAUUUAAAAUUUUGGGUUUCAAAAUAUUCCCAAGUCCAACCCAACUAGAAAAAUAAAUCAACACCCACUCAUUAGAUUUAAUUUAUAUAACAAAAAUUUUUUAAAAAAUAUGAUUAAAUUAAGUUUAAUAGAAUUAUGUUCAAUUUUGCAUACAUAUAAAAUAAUAAAAAAUAAAAAAUAUAUAUAAAUAAAAAAAUAAAAAUUAUAUAAAAAUAAAAAUCAAGUUUAAUAAAAUGCAUAUUUUUAAUUUUAAUUUUUAUAUAUGCGAAUUAAUUUAUAUAUAAUUCAUAUUAUAUAUAAAUAAUAAUAUAUAUAUAUAUAUAUAUAUAUAUAUAUAUAUAUCCGAAUGAGAUUGGGCUAAGUUCAAACUUUAAAUUUUUUAUUCAAGAUUAGGCUCAAAAUUUAAACGAGCCUAAAGAUUGUGUUUAAGCUUGUUUAAAUGAUUUAAUUUUUUUAUCUAAAUUCUUUCAAAACUUGAACGAACUUUUAAGUUUAGAUAGAUAAUCAAUCAAAACUAUUAAACAAGUUUACUUGUUUUUAAUUACUUUUUUUUUAUCUUGAUCAUUAAAUGGGCAAAGCUUAAAAUUAACGAAGGGGGAUAAUUUUUUUUAUCGAUAAAAAAUUCUAAUCUGGGAUAUAAGAAUCUAUUAAAUAUUAUCUCUUAAUUGAUUAUCGGAUUCAAAUUCAAUGUUUACUUACGUGGAUGUUGAAGCGAACAAAUUUAACAGUUGAGCCAACAUUAUCGAUAAUACUCCAACCAACAUUUUGUUGACCCUUUAAAAAAAAAAUGCAUAUGACAAAUUCAAUAGCUUGAGCAUUUAUUUCAUUGGCCAUUGACUGAAGAAAAAUUGAGUGUAUUAGAGUCUCCCAAGUCAACAAAAAAUAUAAAUGUUCUUCAACUUUUGCUAGGACAAUUGGGUCCAAAAAAUUGACCUAGUCGUCUAAGGUUUGAAAUUAAAGCAAUUAAUUUAAUUACUUUUAUUUUUAAAUGUUUUCUUUUGCUGUAAUUUAGAAAAAAAAAAAAAACAGAGACACCAUACAUAUAUUCUUUACCAUGUAACUUCUCAAAUUGGAAAAUUUAAACAGAAAGUUUUAAAUAACAUUGUUGACUUAAAUUUUAAUAGUAAACUGAAUAUAAUUAUUUAAUUCCUUGUUUAUUAGAAAAAAAUAGAGCUAAGAAACCUCCGUAUAAUUAAAUGGAAUAAUUCUAGAAGAAUAAUUUAUCAUAUUCUAAUUAAAAACUUAAUUUAGUUGUUAGCUUAAUAUUAUCCCACGUCUAUUAGAUUUUCAAUUUUUUAUUUUUUUAUAUUUAAAUUAGGUUAUUUAUUUAUAAUCAAAUUGAAUGCUUUAAUAUGAUAUCAGAAUCGGGUUUUAUUUACUAAUUUGUACCUUGUACCAUUUCUGAGUUUGUCACCAUAAUAUUAUGUUUAUUUGUGAUAGAGUCUAUUAAGAUAUAUUAUUUCAGAUUUAUUAAUUCUAGAAGCGGAUUUACCUUUAGUAUGGACAAUCUAAAAAAUUGAAAAAUAAAAAUAAAUUUAAAAGAAAAAAUUUCCUUUAACACCUCAAAACUUUUUCAUGGAUACUCUUUUCGUUAACAAAUAGUAACUAAGUUGAUAAUUUUUAUAUAUAUUAUAUGUGGAAGACUUAAAAGAAAAAUUCUUGACCUGAUUAAAUCUUUGAUUUACUAUAAUGUUAUAUACCAAUCAAUUAAUUUUAAAUUGAAUAAUUUUAUUACGAUUUCACACAUACAACAAUAAUAAACCUUUAAUUGUGUUAGUUGAUUUAAUCUGUUUCUAGAAUAAUGAGAAAAAAAUGACACGGAAUGGUAGAAUUAGAAUAAACAAAUGGAAGAGAAUUGCAAGUUAUAUGGGUAGCAAUCACGCGGCUAUGCAAAGAAUUUUUGCUAUAAAUACUUAGGCCUCUUUUAUCUCCAUUCCUCAAAUAUUCCUUCCACUCUAGCUUUCAUUAUAUCUCUUGCAUCUUUGAGCCUUCACCGAUCAGAUAAACAUUUAUAUUUCUUUGUAUCUAAUUAAUCAAGGUAAUAUAUUUAUGAUUUUUGUGUAAUAUUUUAUUUUCAUUAUUGAUCUUUAAUUCAACUAAAUGAAAUCCACUUCAAUGUUAUGUGUGGCAAAAUAAGUGGAUUCGGAUACUUGAAUGUCCAUGUGGUCGAUAAUUUUUGAUUUUGAAUUUAUGUUGUGUGACAUUGAAUUUAUGUUGUUAGUGGGUUUCGAUCUGAUUCGACCCUAUAAAAUUAAUUUUUUUAAAAUUAAGUUUUGGUUUGGGUUUGAUUAAAAAAAAAAAAAGGAUUGGAUUAGGUUACAUUUUAGACAAAUCUACUUCAGUUCAACCUUGUACAUAUAAAAUAUUUUUAUUAUUUAUUUAAUUUAUAUUUAUAUAUAUUUAAUUUUUUAUAUUUAUUUAAAAUUAUAUUUAUAUUAAAAAAUAUUUUAUAUUAAAAUUUUUUAUUAAUUUCAGGUUGUUUGCUGUUUUAUAUAUAUGCGAAUUGGGUUAAAUCGGGUAUGAAAAACUAAUAUUUUAAUAUUGGAUUUGAGUAUAUAUUUUUUCAGGCGAACGAAAAUCUGUCAUGUUCCUGUUACAUCACUACCAAUUAUAGAAUGGAUGAAUUAGAAGUAUUUUUUAUUGAUUACAAAAUUCAAAAUUUGAAUUUUAUAUGCCAUGAAUGCAAAUGAUAUUUGCAUAUAUUUCUUCGCAUCUAGUUUAUCAAAUUAAUAUAUUCAUAGAGCAUAUAAGUACAAAUUAUAUUCAAUUCAAACUUAUUCUUUUUAAUAGAUUAUUCAAGUAAAUCUUGUCUUUGCAGAAAAUCCAACAAGAAGAUGCCAACGUUGCUAAAACUGAACGAUGAUGGUCAUCCGUAUCAGCUUGAGUGGAAAAAGAGCGAAGUUUCCUUUCUUUUGCGACGGUUGCAAAGAGCUAGGAUUUGGACUUUGCUACCAAUGUCCCAACAGCGAUUGCAAUUUCAUUCUCCUGAGGAAUGUGGGAUUCGUCGACCUCCGCCAUGCCAGAAAUUUUUCAAAGGAUGCGACUUCAAAUUUCACAGGGAAAAUCCACUAGAAGGAGACAGAUCCUGCGACGCCUGUGCCUUGAUAUACAAGGCUUCUUGUACCAAUGCUUCCGUGUUAAAAAUCCCCAUGAUUUACAUCCCUGUUGCGCAAACCUUCCACUGUUCUUCUCUCUUCCGGAUACCGACAUGGAAAUCUACCUAUGCGAAGAGAUUAAAUCGAAAUGCUUGAAAUGCCAAAGCAAGAAAAGGUCAUCAGGCAAAGCCCAGGGUUUGUCCUAUGUUUCUUCGGAUGGUAAAUUCUGUUACCAUGUGGCCUGUCUGAAAGAAGCCUGUCUGGAGAAUUGGAAAAAGGGUUAUUUUCAACCUGAUGUUAUUGCUGAUGAUAAGAACAAAAGCCUUGCAUUGCAAAAUCUUGCUCCAAAAGAAGUUGCGCUCGUCCGAGAUGGGGGCCAAAGCUCUAAUGCAAUGAACGGUAUCAAAUGGUUGAUCAUAUUUCUCAAGCUGGUCGUUUCAGCUAUAUUUGGAGAGCCAUUGACUUUAAUUUCUACUUUGUUUCAAAUUUAUGAUCAGAACUAGUAAUCAUAUAUUUGUUUGUUUGUAGGCUCUUCCCUGUUAUCUUUCCUAUUAAAUUGGGUACUUUUUUUUUUUUAAUUUAAGAACAAGGAUCGGCAAUAAAGCUUUACGCUUGAACUUUGUGCUUUAUUAAAUAGUUUUGUAAUUUGACUCAAGAAUUAAAAUGAAUAUGUUGCUUUUUUGGACGUUCCAAAAAAUUAAAUUUUUUCCAUGUAUUUGGGUAUUUCUAUUUCAUUUAUAUUAUAUAUGUUUGAUAGGAAGGAGGAAAAUUAAAAGAAAGAAAAAAAAUAUGAAAGAAAAGAGGAAGGAGAGGAAAGAAAAAUAUUUUUUUCUUUGUUGUUAAUUUAAAUUGAAUGAGUGUUUUACUCUUCCAUUUGAGAAAAAAAAAAAAAAAAGAAUUUUAAGAGAAGAGAAACACGAAAUUCACUCAUUUUACUUCUUCCUCCUUAUUUCUCUCUUAAGGAUGAAAAAAUAGUUAGAAAUGUCAAUAGGAAGAAUAUGGGGUGGGUAGAGCAUUCUUAAUCAUCCUUAAUUUUUUUUUUUUUAUUAUGUCUAUCAUUGUAUCUACACUCAAUGUGUAUUUUAAAUUCAUUCUCACUCUUAUUUCCAUGGUAUUUAAUGACUAUAAGUAAUAUCUGUAUAUAUAGCUUUUUAAAAAAAAAAAAAAAAAAAAUUUUAUUUUUGUCUUACACAUUAAAAUAAAAUUUUUUUAAUAUGUAUUUUUAAAUACAAAUAUAUUAGUCCUAAUAAAAAAUAAAAUUUAUUUUAUUAAAUAUAUAUGGUACAAGCAUGAGAUAAAUGCUAUAUUACUCAUCCCCAUACUUAUAUCUGAUAAAAUAGUUCAAACCAUACUUAUCUCCAACUUUAUCUCCAAAAUUUAAUAUUUAUAUCCAUUCCCAUUAAGAUAGAAAAUCGGAUUUCCAGUCGAAUUUAGAUAAAAUUGAUAUCCAAAAAAAUGGUAACUAUGUAUAUCAAUCUAAUUCCAUCAAAUAUGAUAUUGACAAAAAGAAUACUUUUAUUGUAAACAGGUCUCGCUAAAUAUAUGUUUUUUUUUGUGGGAGUGAGUCAACGAUGUGGUCUCACCUUUUGACAUAGUCUUCUUUUAAUUUUGAAAGCAUGUCAUUUACGGUUUUUUCUAAACUGUACAUAGAAAUAAGAAAGAACCCUACACAUUCCUUGAUGUAACGCAUGAACUUGAAAUUUUUAAAUUGAAAUUUAGUUUUAAAAUGAUUAAAUUGUUGACUUGAUCAAUUUUCAUACUACUAGCUUAUUAAUUUAAUGUCUUCUUCUUUGUUAAGCGACAAAGACUUGCUCAAUAUAUUCUCUACUCGGAUAGAUCUGUUAAUUCGUGUUACCAUUUCGUGUAAAAUACUAUAUUAUUAUUAUUAUGUUUUACAUGAAAAUCGCGUGUCACAAUUCAUGUCGAUAUGAAAAUAUAAAAUAUAAUUUUUUGAUUUUAUUAAACUUAUUUAUGAUUUUUUUAAAAUUUCAAGUUGUGUUAUCUCCUAUUUUUUAUUCAUAUCAUUUUUGUAUCGUAUAACUGUAUCAUAUUUCAUAUUGUUUGGUCUAUAUUUGGAUCAAUCAAAGUCUAAAUAGGUUUAAUGAAGUCAUAAAAAAUUAUUUUUCCAUAACUUAUUAAUUUAAUGUCUUUUUAGAUUAUAAAAGGCAAACCAAAGGAAACCGCGAUCCAAUUGAGCUGGAACAAACCUAGCGGACUAGUUUAUUAUAUUCUAAUCGAAAACUAAAUCAAGGCUUAACAGCAUUACUUAGAAAACUAUUCAACAGGGAAAUUUCUAGUUAUGUUUGUUAAUCUUUGUUACGUAGACUUAAUGAGAAAAAUUAACGCGGAAUUGGGGAAGAUCUAACAAAUGAAAGAGGCUAGGAUUGCUUGGGAAGUCAGGCAGUAACGCAGAGAUUUGUGUAUAAAUACUCUCAUUUAGGGUUCUUUCAUCACCAUUCCUACAUCAAGACUCCAACUUCCUUUUUAUUUGAAGCAUUCCAGAGUUCAACACUUUACCACACCAUUGGCAAGAUUCUAGCUUUAAUUCUAUCUCGUGUAUAAAUGAUUUUCCAUAUAUAUAUAUAUUUAUAUCUUGUGACAAUGGUUUUAGUUAUUGAUUAAAGCCAAGUUUAUGCUAAAUCUAACAUAUAUGAAAGGUGUAAGAAUGAUUAAAAUGACAGCUUGUUGUUUGUUUUCAAUUUGAGUUUUGCUUGAGUUUAAGAUUGCCACCAGUUACGUGAUCUGUUAGUAUUGAACUAGACUCUUCUUCGGGUGCCUCAAUUCACGACCGUUUUAAAUACCGAAAAAAAAUACUUUAGGACUGUAGAAAACAUAGCACUCUUUCAUAUAUUUCCUUGUGUAAAGUUAUUUCCUUGUAUCAAGUUGAUCAAAUAAAAAAUAUUCAUAUAACGUAUAAAAGUAUACAUGAUAUUAUAUCCAAUUCAAUCUUUGUCUUUGCAGAAACGCCAGCAAGAAUCAAUUGGAAAAAAGAUGCCAUCACUGCUAACACUAUACGAUGGAGAUGACCACCCACAUCAGCUUGUGUUGAAAAGGAGCCAAGUUCCUUUCUUUUGCGAUGGUUGCAAAGAGCUAGGGUUUGGAGUUUGCUACCAAUGUCCCAACAAGGAUUGUGAUUUCAUUUUUCGUGAGGUGGGAUUCGUCGGCCUCCAGCGUGCCAGAAAUUUUUCAAAGGAUGCGACUUCAAAUUUCACAAGGAAAAUCCACUAGGAGGAGACAGAUCCUACGACGCCUGUGCCUUGGAUAUACAAGGCUUCUUGUACCAAUUCUCCCGCGUUAAAAAUCCCCAUGAUUUACAUCCCUGUUGCGCAAACCUUCCACUGUUCUUCUCCCUCCCGGAUACCGACAUGGAAAUCUACCUAUGCAAACAGAUUAAAUCGAAAUGCUUAAAAUGCCAAAGCAAGAAAAGANNNNNNNNNNNNNNNNNNNNNNNNNNNNNNNNNNNNNNNNNNNNNNNNNNNNNNNNNNNNNNNNNNNNNNNNNNNNNNNNNNNNNNNNNNNNNNNNNNNNNNNNNNNNNNNNNNNNNNNNNNNNNNNNNNNNNNNNNNNNNNNNNNNNNNNNNNNNNNNNNNNNNNNNNNNNNNNNNNNNNNNNNNNNNNNNNNNNNNNNNNNNNNNNNNNNNNNNNNNNNNNNNNNNNNNNNNNNNNNNNNNNNNNNNNNNNNNNNNNNNNNNNNNNNNNNNNNNNNNNNNNNNNNNNNNNNNNNNNNNNNNNNNNNNNNNNNNNNNNNNNNNNNNNNNNNNNNNNNNNNNNNNNNNNNNNNNNNNNNNNNNNNNNNNNNNNNNNNNNNNNNNNNNNNNNNNNNNNNNNNNNNNNNNNNNNNNNNNNNNNNNNNNNNNNNNNNNNNNNNNNNNNNNNNNNNNNNNNNNNNNNNNNNNNNNNNNNNNNNNNNNNNNNNNNNNNNNNNNNNNNNNNNNNNNNNNNNNNNNNNNNNNNNNNNNNNNNNNNNNNNNNNNNNNNNNNNNNNNNNNNNNNNNNNNNNNNNNNNNNNNNNNNNNNNNNNNNNNNNNNNNNNNNNNNNNNNNNNNNNNNNNNNNNNNNNNNNNNNNNNNNNNNNNNNNNNNNNNNNNNNNNNNNNNNNNNNNNNNNNNNNNNNNNNNNNNNNNNNNNNNNNNNNNNNNNNNNNNNNNNNNNNNNNNNNNNNNNNNNNNNNNNNNNNNNNNNNNNNNNNNNNNNNNNNNNNNNNNNNNNNNNNNNNNNNNNNNNNNNNNNNNNNNNNNNNNNNNNNNNNNNNNNNNNNNNNNNNNNNNNNNNNNNNNNNNNNNNNNNNNNNNNNNNNNNNNNNNNNNNNNNNNNNNNNNNNNNNNNNNNNNNNNNNNNNNNNNNNNNNNNNNNNNNNNNNNNNNNNNNNNNNNNNNNNNNNNNNNNNNNNNNNNNNNNNNNNNNNNNNNNNNNNNNNNNNNNNNNNNNAGAACAAAGCAACGUUUCAAGCUGCACCAAGAAUUGUGUAGCAGUACCUUCUUUGACCUAUUCUCGUAUCAAAACAUUUAGAAGCAUUUCCUGUGGACGAUUGAUGGACCUGACUCAUCGUACUCUGCCUUUGCGAUCCACAUCUGCAACCAAAUAGCAUGCGAAUCGGCUAAUGUAAGACAUUGAACAAGCAACCAGACCACUGUAAAUGCAAAUCAAUGGUAAAUCAACUUACUUGUUGGAAGGUGCUGAGGGAAGCCAAGAUUGAGCCUCCAAUCCAGACACUGUACUUCCUCUCAGGUGGCGCAACAACCUUGAUCUUCAUGCUGCUAGGAGCUAGUGCAGAGAUCUCCUUGCUCAUUCUGUCAGCGAUACCAGAGAACAUCGUUGAACCACCGCUGAGGACAAUGUUACCGUACAAUCUUUCCUGAUAUCCACAUCGCACUUCAUUAUGGAGUUGUAUUGUUUCGUGGAUGCCUGCAGCUUCCAUACCAAUCAAGGAUGGUUGGAAAAGCACUUCAGGCAUCUGAAUCGCUCAGCACAAUGGUAAUAACCUGACCAUCAGUAACUCGUAGCUCUUCUCUACGCUGCUUGUUUUGGAGGUCUCUAGCUCCUGUUCGUAGUCAAGAGCAAUGUAUGCCAGCUUUUCCUUCAUGUCCCUCACAAUUUCCCGCUCGGCUGUGGUGGUGAAGGAAUAUCCACGCUCGGUCAGAAUUUUCAUCAAGU
rnacentral:lncRNA from 1 species